GUUUAUUUUCCCCUUUUCUGUUGGUUUUGAGUUUGGUCGGAAGCUCGGUGGUCUGUUAUCGCAACAAAUGAAUGAAGCAAGCGUCAGCAAGGUUUAGUGCUGAAAAAUUUAAAAAGAAACUGAAUUUUACAUCAUCAUCAGAAGCAGUUUUUUACCUGUCUCCGCAAUUUAAUGUGACAACUGCAAAAGCGGAGGAAAUUUGGGUCUUUGAAUAGCGAAGAAGAUAGAUAAUAGUAGAGAAGGAGAAAAUAUCUGGGGAAUAAACAGAUUCUAAUGGGAAUCCGUGUUUUUCUCUCUCCUAAGAUGAAGUCACCGAAGAACUUGGGGAACGUGAUAAAAAAAUAGAGGAAAUCACUGAAGAGCUUGGUAAGUCGUUUCUUUUUCCUUCCUCCCUUAGUUUUUCCUCCCUUAGUUUUUCCUCCCU